AUACUAAUCACACUACUUCAUCUCCACUUGAGUAGAUCUCUAUAAAAGCCAUCAUGCUACCUUUGUUUAUCCUAGUAAGUGUUAGUUUGGAAGUACUGGACACACUUCCAAUGGCAUUUAAAUUAAGCGUGGUGCUGAGGUUAAAUAGCCUUCCUUAAUCUGAUUAGACAUGGAGUCUAGUUUGGUUACUGAACUAAAAAUUGCUUGAGUAGAUAUUGGUAUAUUUUGUGGGACUAACCCCUGCAGGAGAACUUUCAAUAUCAACCUGGGAAGUCCUGAGAUAAACUCACAUUGGAGAUGAAGAAAGUGACACAUGAAGUUUAACAAUUUGCACAAGAAAGACGUAGCUCAUAAGAGAUGAUUCAUGGAGGGUGCCACAAACACGAUGCACAACCGCUAAGAAAGGAAAGCUUCCACAAGGUGAUACUGUACCGUCACUCUUCAAGUAAGGUAACACCUUAAGGUACUUGACUAUCGCUUUUAUAAGCUUCUCCUUGGUUCUAGCAUUCACAUAAAUAAAGAGACAAACAUGUAUGAUUUAUAACUCCAAAUUAACCAACUCAAAUUAAUUCAUCAUGUUUAGUCCUUAAUCUUUGUUCUUAGUACUACCUUCGUGAUCCCAUACUCCUAAUCAUAUAAGUUAAAAUGUUGCACAUUCAAUCUUUGGGAAGAUAUAAAGAAAAGACAUAUACACAGAUAGAUUAUCUUUCCAUUAGGUCGAUCAAUCUGAUCUGACAAAUGUUUUAAAUACUACACUCAUGAUCUUAUUAUCUAUCAAACUUUGUCUUGCUCACUAUGCUUAAGGUUAGAGAAGAACAAAUACACUUUUGGUUCUGUUGGUGUUUUCCACCAACAGGGCCCAUGCACUUGAUCUCUGCCUUGUCUCUAUGAAUAGGUACAUUUCAAACAAAACAUGGAGGAGUUUUACAACUCCCAGACUCCACCAAGUAAAGGACUUGGAUCUAUGAGCACAAACACACUGAGCAGGAUAUUGCCAACACCGCACUUCGAACUGCUGGGCAAACAAAAAACAUAGGUGACACCGUAUCAAGAGGUGCAGACGUCAAGGUCCGCACCUGAAUGAAAUGACGCACCUGAAGAAUGAACACAGUGAGAAGUCUUGUCAAGAAGACUUAAAACAUUGAACCCUCACCGAAAGGUAAGAUUGGUAGUUAUCCAUAUUUAUCCUUUCUGCAUUCUCUUUUCCCUUUAAUUAUUUACUUGCCUUAAAUAGAUUAUUAGUUAAUCAUGCUAUCUUGAAAAGAAAAUAAAAAUGUUAAAAAAAUACUAAGCCCCAUGUGAGUAUACGAGUGGCAUAAAACCCAUAAGUACCUUCACUGUGGUGGCAUAAAAAUAAAAUAAAUAUUUCCUUUUUACUUUAUAAAAUAAAAAUAUAAAAACAGGGAGUAAUAUUUAUUGAGGAAGCUAAACGUGAUGAAGGCUAGAUAUUUAUGCUAACACUUAAUUAGUUCCACAAGCUUUGUUGUCUAUUUGAGCUCCACGGAAUUUAAGAAUCAAGAAGACUAGGAGAUGGAGGAUAUUCUAAUCGCUGUCAGAAUGCUGCUGACUUUCAAAUACACCUCUGCCACCUGCUAGCUACAUCAAGAGAAAUUACGUCAAAAUUCAGCUUGGGGGAGAGCACCCCUAUUUAUCUCGCUAAGUAUUUCUACCUGUCUUUAUACUUAUAUUAUAUUAGAAUAUUAAAAUACCUAAACUAUGAAAAACCAAAUAAAGAUUUUAUGCUUAUAUAUAUAUAUAUUUUCUUAGUUUGCUAAAUAAAUAAAUAAAUAAAUAAAUAAAUAAAGUUUGCUAUGAAUCUUAAUAAUAAAACUCUAGCAUGGAUAUGAUGAAUAGUUGCUCUGCCUAAAUUGCAAAUUUAAAGUUCUCUCUCAAGUUUAGACAUAACUGUUAUAAUUUAAAGCUUGCUCUAGAUCUAAACUUGUGGGAUGAAAACUUGAUCUGAAAUCUAAGUUGUUAACGGAUAAGAUAUGUGAAGGUUGAGCUGUUGUUUAUCUGUUCCUAGAGAUGCUAGAAUUCUGGAGAAUUUUAUCUUUGAAAAAUCUUUAAAAUAUUGCAUGAUGAGUUCCUGUAUGAUGAGAGUUUAAAUUCCUACCACAGCCAUAUAUACAUGCUUGCUAGACUUUGAGCCACACAUUUACUAUUUACUGCUUAUGAGCAUUGAGUGUGGUCAAGCUGUGUAGACCUUUAGGAGCUUGUCAUGUGGUUAAAUCAAGAUUCACUUGCACGUCCACUCAUAUAUGCUACUUCUACUCCGGAAGUACCAUCCACAUAUAUCCAUCCAUUUCCAUCUCUAGUUUCACCCAAAAUCAUUCUACUCCUAAUCCGGGAGAGAAUAGCCAAAAACAUUUUCCUAUCCCUGUUAUUCCCUGUGAAAUAAAUGCUCCAGUUAUUUUGGUUACUACCACUUGCUACAUUAUUUCAGGAGAUGAGUGCUCUGAAAAAAAAGGAAAAGAGAAGAAAAGAAAAAAAAAAUAAUAAACGAGGAAAUAAAAAGGGGCAAGUGCCCGGAACCUCGAAUGAAAGAAAAAGUAAGACGAGAGGUAAAAAUGGACAAGUGUCCGACAGUAGAAUUAGGGGUACAAGAUACCCACCUGAGAGGAAAGAAAAAGAAGAGCAUCUCAUUCUCCUCAUAAAGUUUCAAAAAGCAAGGAAGGUAUGUAUCCCCUCAUAAGAGCAAAAGUAGAAUUAGACUUUCACCAUUGUUAUCACCAUCAUCACUAUACACCAUUCAUUCGCCACACAUGCACAUCUUGAUUUGGCUUAUUGAUUUGUUUCUUUGGAUCCAUGGUUUGACUAUACAAUAAAUGUCUUGUAAGUAUGUAUACUUUAUCUCCCACCUAUGAGCUCCAGAUAUCAAAACCUUAUUAGAGUAGGGUGAGAGAGAAGGCAAUAUCACUAUGCCUCAUACCAAAAAUACCACAUACUUUGAGAGAAAGCAUAAACCAUUACUGCCUUGGUAAGGAUCCAGAAAUACCACAAAAGAGAGACUAGAGAGAAUUAUACAAGGAAUCUCUGAGUUUUAUUUGAAAAUCUGCAAAAACUCCAGAGCUAUAGUUGAUCAAAGAACAAGAUACAUGGUGCUUGACUUAACCGUUCUAUCUUUUAACUGCUCAAGACACAAGUGACUGUUACAAGCCCCAUGGUAAAAGGUAAAAUGAGUAAGUUUUAAGUCUUAACAGUUUAUUCUAACUCAGAGAUGAGAUCUUGCUUGAAUGCGUGUGUACUUUUAAGAAAUGAAACCACUGCAGAAACUCUUAAGUUCAUCCUUGCUCAGGGACGAGCAAGAGGUAAGCUUGGGGGAGUUUGUUGACGGUCCUUAAGUAUCAAAUUUAAUUAUCAAAUAAACAAAGAAAAGGAUCCAAAUAAAAUCAACAUCUAGACUUAGGGUUUUAUCUGACAGAAUUCCACGAGUUUUGGUGUUUGUCUAUUUCUGCAGGGGGUUAUUAGGAAAUAAGGAAGAAAGGCCCACAUGUCGGGAUUACAUAGAGAUAUUAAUGUGCCGCACAAUUUUCUAUCAUCUAGAAGACUCCAGAAGCCACGGGAACGAACGAGAAGGCAAACGGGCCCGGGGGCAGGGCGCCCGCCCACCCCCUUGGGCGCCCACCUAGGUGUUUCCACCAAUCACAGAAUGGAGUACACCAUUGCAAAGAUCUCGUCGAGCUGAUCGAAAUGCAUAUAUUACUUGCUAUAUUUGGAGUUUGGAAUCAAAAGAUAUUAAUAAAAGAAGGACUCCACAUAAAAGAGCUGCGGGAUUAAUUGGGCCCAAAUCAGAUUUUGGUCCAUUAAGGCCUAUGUGCAUUUUAAUGAGAUAUGGUGGAAAGUUUAGUACCACAUCGCCUGCUGAACCAAAAACGCACAGAGGAGGAGGACUAUAUAAGCAAGGCCCCUGGCCCCUGGAGAAGACAAGAAAUUAUCAUAGAGAUUGAGGGGUGCUUUCGAAGGAAAACCUCUUCUCUAAAUAAUAUUUCUUUUUAGGCUUAGCAACCAAUGUAAAGUAGAAAUAGAUCUUCUAGUUUCUACUAGAUUGAGAGAGAUAGAGUGGAGGUGUGGAUCGGAGGAAGGCCGGCCUGUCGGUGUCUACUCCGAGUUGUACCUACGGGAUCAAGUCUCCUAACCCGAGGCUUGCUUCUAAGAUUCUUCAGUAAUUCGACUUCUAAUACUAGUAAGUUCUUGUUUUAUUGUUCUUUGGUUUAUGAGUUUACUUUAAUCCUCUUCCGGUUGAGUAUUAGAGUAAUCACUUGCUAGCGUAAACAUGGUGUUUAGGCUAGGGUACUCAUAGAUAUCCCCUGACUAGCUGGACCGUGGUAGUAGCGAGGAACGUGACAUUUCCGAGUUACCUUUGCAGAUCACAUCUCGUUAGCAGGACGGGUAGGGUUAUAGGUGCGGGUCGAACAUCCUUUAUGUUGUCUAGAUUCCGUGAGCCUCCCCAAUAGAACAGUAGAUCAUCCUUACCAAGGUUAGAACGAAACUAAGGUUGCAGUCUUCUCUAUACAUCACUCACAUCGAGAGACAUUCUUUGUAGCCUAAAGGGAUAGUAGCAAUAGAUUUGGUUAGUCGGAUGCACCCUUUCUCCCAGCGGUAAAAAUAUAAAUACGAUACUCUGGAAAACCUCCCGGGUGAAAUGCUCACCGAUAUCCGUGCGCUUGCGGAUCAUUUUCUAAUUGCGUUACCA
rnacentral:lncRNA from 1 species